CAAACAACCACUCUUCCUCCUUAGUACUCUCUUCUUCUUCUUCUUCUUCUUAUAACCCAAUCAACAGAGAAAAAGAAAGCAGUUUCAGUUUGAGAUUCAGAUCGGAGAAAGUGAUGGUGAUUCAUAGAAUUGAACUAUGCAUAUCUAUGGUUAGAAUGGCCAUAGAGUUUGUUAUGGCAGUUGCAGAAACGGUUGUUAUUGUUCAAGAAAGAAACACCGACCCUUUUGUUCCGUUCAGCCGUGCAAAUACUCCUCUUCCUUUUCACGGUUAUCUUCGUUGAUGAUUUCCAUCUAGCUUGUUUUUUUUGCUUCAGUUUGUGUUGUUAAUUUCUGUUUCAUAAAACUCUGUACAUAUAGUUUAGAUCAGUACAUAAUUUUCCCUUUUGGUUUGCAUCAUGUUGUAUUUGAUGCAAAACUGUGUAAAGGAAAAUUGAUAAUACCCAUGUUUUUAGGGUUUGUUUUUAUUCAAACUCUUGGUUAGUUUCCAAGAUUAUGAUGCACAAGUUAUGUUGAUUAUGAAUGAAAGAAUGAAUUGAUUCAGGUAUUUCUAUUUCUUCAUUUCUUCUUGUACUGUUUGCUGGUCCUCUUUGAGAAAUCUAUGCUUAAUUUUCUCCUUCUUCUUUAUCUUUCAUUGAAAUUCGGGAAAAAAAAUCCAAUUUUCUUUGUAUUUUGUACAAGCAACAGAAACGGACACAAACAACGCUCUGUUUCUAUGUCUUGUUUUUCUUUUCCUUUUUUUAAUAUAUUUUUUGGUUGAAAGGUUUCCGGCAAUUUUAUAUAAUUAGCUUUUAUUUUUAAAUUAGAGAUUCCAUUCCAAAAAUAAUUGAUGUAGUUUACAAGUUUGUGUUAGUCUGAAUUUUUUUUUAUAAAUUUAAUAAUAUAACUGAAUUCAAACUAAAAAUAUCUAAUUAAAUUAAAAGAGAUCUGUAUUACUUAUUUUAUUUGAUAACUACUUUUGAGGUUAUGAAAUGAAUGUUGAGUCCAUUCUGGUUUAUGAUAAGGAUUUUAGAAACGAUAUUUAUGAAUCUCAUUAAAUAUGAAGGGGGAGGGAGUGGCUUUUAGCAACUGACUUUCUUCACCUAACAAAGACUUACCUGCGACUUGACUUGCCAUUUGGGAUUUCGAUUUCCUAGGUGAGAUGUCCUAAAGAAUCUCUUACUUAGGAAAACAAAAUGGUUUUAUUGUUCCAAUAUAAAUAUGAUUUUGACAAAAAAAAAAUUUCAAGUAAUUUUAUGGAUGCAAUUUUUUUUUUAUAAAAUUAAAAAAAUGGAUGUCGCGGGUUCGAAUUCACAUCUUUAUAUCCGAUGUUUCUACGUAAUUAUCAACCAAACUAAUUUAGCGGAACUUUAUUCAAAAUUAGGGGUGUUUAAAAGUGAAUAGAUCAAUAGAAAAUCGCAAAUUGAAACAAACCAAAUUGAAAACUACAAAAAAACAGUGUUCGAUUCAGAUGUUUUUGAACCAUUUUUUUGACAAAACUGCGCGGUUCGGUUCAGUUUGUGGUUUGUAUUUUGCAAUCCAAAUCAAACCGAAGCAAAUCGCAUUAUGUUAGAAAUCAAACUUUGUUUAACCCACAUCCAACUCAUAUUUAGACCUAUUAUGUCUUAUCUUAAGAAUGCGUGGCCGAUAGGGGUGGCAAAACAAUCUGUUUUGCCCGCACUUUAGUGCGGGGCGGGCCAAGGGUUUAGACCCUCACCCUCUAAUGUGUCUGCCCCAUCCCGUUUUCUUCACGGGUUUUUGUGGGCACAAGUAUUUACAUAAAUUUUUGCGUUUUUAGAUUUAAAAGGUGUAGUGUCUACGGACGGACCUAAAUAGGACAGACAUGCUUGUUUGUCACCCCUAGUGGUCGGGCCUAACUCAACCCUACAAUACCAUCUUGUAGGGUGAGGAUUGCCCCCACUUAAAAAAAACCUGUUAAAAAAACUAAGGUAAAACUAAUAAAAAUGAAAACUAAAAUGAGAAACAGGGGCUGUUAGGGACCAAUUAGUACUACUUUUUAUAUCAUUUUAUUGAUCCCUUUUACCAAGUUUUGAUGUAAUUACACACUUUUAUUCUCACUAUUUUGUAUAAAUGCAAUUAGGUUUAAUUUAUUUUGAAAACUUAUCAAUAAAGUGUAUAAACAAUCAAAACAUCUUAAAAAGGGUAAGAGAGCUUUUGGAAUGCAACAUCAUAAUAUGGAAGAGGUGUUGAAUGCAAUUUGGAGGCCCAAUUUUGGAGAAUACCACUUGGAAGACUAAUUGAAUGAAGCUUGCAAGGCAAGGAAGCUAAAGCAGCUUCAGUUCGCGCCGCGAAGCUUGCGAAUCCAGCAAGCUGUUUUGGUCAAGUGUGUUGUUUUCAAGGCCAUCUGUGUUUUGCCAUUCUGGUGUAUGCCUUAGGGGAACUUUUCAGCCUUAGAUGAGAAAUGAUCAUUUUAGGAAAUGUCAACCCUUUUAGAAAAUCAGAAUGAAAAGUGAUAUGCAUUCUAACACAUUCAGACAUUCAUUGAUAGUUUUGCUAUUUUGUAAGAGAGAAAAACAGAGUUUUCUUCCAUGGCAUUUUGCUUUCCAAAAUGAUGAUGAGGAGCUAAACCCCAUUUUGUCAAGAUUGGAGGUAGUAGCUAUUCUCAUUUGUGUAUGUAUUUCAUUUGAUUCUUAUAUAUGAUAAAAGAUUGUUGAUGUAUUGAAUGAUAUUUUUGCCCUAAGUUGAAUAUCAGAUUUGAAUAGUUGUUGAAAGAGAUUAUUUAAGUCUUGACAGAGAAUAUGCUUUCAAGUAGUGAAUAAGUUGUAGAGAUAGAUUUAUUCAUUACUCUUCUUUUGUAUCAACCAUUAAAGAUUGCUAUAUUGAUAGUUAGGUGGAGAGAUCGUGUAAGGAUCAAUAUAGUGAUUAUCACAAUAUCACUUAGACAUAAAUGAUAUUGAGAGGAUACUUGAACAUCAUCAAUAAUCUUAAAUCUAUAUAGUUAUCAUACGGAAGCAUAAGCACUUGGAAUAGUGAACUCCAAUCUUGUCAAGCUUUUACAUUUGAUUAAAACCAUUUUACUGUUUUUAGUGACAUUUUACUCAAAAGAUAACUUUCCAAACAAAACAAUUUGGUUACUUUCUAAACUUAUAACAAUUUGGAUUAUAGAACGGCGAUAAUAACAACCAAUCUCUGUGGAUACGAUAUAAAAAUAUUUGCCGAAGAUAUACUUUUCAACAGGGGCUAAGGGGGGUUUAAAUGAUAAAAGGGUGGUUAAGCCCACAAGAUUGCACCGGUCUUAACAAAGCAACACAAGCAAAGUUAACUAAUCCUUGAUUAAUGAAUUCUGACCUAUGCAUGAAAAUGGGAUCUUAAAUAGAUGAAAUGAUCAUGAGACAUGAUGCAUAUGAGAUACUUAAUAAAUCAUAGAGAUAAAUUUAUGCAAAUGAGUGGAUGCAAACUAGUGAAUACAAAUAACUGAAAUACAGAUGAAUGACUUUAGGCAGGGCAAAAUUUAGGGUAUGACACCACCUUUACUCUCUGGUUCAUAUUUCAUCCCUUUAUGGGUUCAAACCACAAUAUCCCUUUGGUUCAAACCAUACCUCAAUCACUCUCCUUUCAUCCCCCACAUUUAGUUCUAUGAACUACAGAGCUCUGAAUUCCUUAAUGCACUAUAAGAAUACGUAUGCAUGAGGUCCCUAAUCCUCACCAAGCACUUUAUCUAUUCUUCUCCUUUUCCUUUAUUCUUUUGCGAGUAAUCUUUAGAUAGUAACACUCAUUCGAGUAAAGAACAAUAAAAACGGUCCUCGUUGACUACAACGGAUGUGAGGGGUGUUAAUAUCUUUUCCUUGCAUAACCAACUUCCUUUCCCUUUUUCUAUUUCCCCAGGUUUAUCGAUGUUUUCCCUUUCCUUCGGGAAAAAAUAAAGUUUGAUGGCGACUUUGUUGUACCUUCGAGCGUGCGAUGCAUUCGGAUAUAUUUCUACUAGCUUUAAUAUCAAAUAUUCAACUGUCAGAACCUGUUUUGACUAUCUUGUGAAUUGAAGAGUUGUUUCUCAACCAUUCUAUCUAGUUUUCAUUUUCUUUAUCAAAAUUAUUUUUAAAUAAUUUUUUGAAAAGGGGGGAAAUCAAAUAUGGUUUUAAAUUUUUUUAUCCAUAUUUAAUAAAAUCCCAAAUAUUGUUUAUCUGUGCAUUUUCUUAUCAGUUCAUUGUGCCUCUAAAAUAUUCCUUGAUUGAUUAAAAUGUUUCUUCAGUAUCUUUUCUAUUUCCUUACAUUGUGUUUUUUGUUGAUGACAAAAUGGAGAGUAGAUAUAUAAGUAUUUAAACACCUAAAAUAUGGCAGCUAUUCUUACUUAAAUUCUGAAGAAUUAUUAUUGUACUUUAAAUAUUCAAAUUUAAUUAACUUGGAUGAGACUUAAGGGGAGCUUACAAACCUCACCCUAUGGAUUAUUAGACUCAGGGGGAACUUACAAACCUCAGACUCUAUGGAUUGUUAGACUCAGGGGGGGCUUACAAAUCUUGGACCCUGAUGUCAACUAGUUAAUUAAAUUAUCAACCAUUAUUCUUAAAUACUUAUGUAUGUCAUCAUCAAAAAAGGAAGAUUUUUGGAACAAAAUUGGUUUGUUCCAUAUCCCUUAGGUUUUGAUGAUAACAAAGUAUUUAAAAAACAAUUAGUAUACUAAUGUUUGCUCAAGUGUGCAGGACCAUAGACUAAAAUUUUAUAUAGAAUCCAAGUAUUGGUUCAAAUAGUGAACAUUCAAUUAGAAGCUUAAAUACCAAAAUUUGAUGGAUCGGAAGCUGAAGACCAGACUCUAAGGAAGUCAACUUCUGAAGAGGUCAAAUCUGAAGGAGUCAGCCUCUGAAUACUAGACUUUGAAGAAGUUUGCUUUUGUUAAUCAGAACCUGGGUCAGUGAAAGCGCAAUGACCAAGGUGACUCUGAUGGGUCUCUAUGAACCUCUGAGUCUACUUUGGCAUGUGAAAACCUAAGCUCUAUUUUCUUCAUAAAGUCUGCUGGGAUACAAUUGCUAAUUCCUUUUGUAGAAAAUAGUUUUUAAACUAGUCUUCACCAACCUUGACUAUUUGGUGAAACACCCCAACGUCUCUUUUGAAGCUUCUCAAAGGACUCUAAUGUGUUGCAUCUUCAACGACUUUUUUCUUCUUUAUUUAAGGAGCUACAUACUUGAAGAAAAAUAGACCAAUUGACACUCAAAUUGAAAUUACUCUCUCAACAUAAAAUCAUAAGCUGAACUUAGGAUUUCUUAUCCUUGUAUAUCUUAAAAAUUCCUAAGUCUGGAAAGAGUAUACUUGUAUUUUAUUCUUUAUACACAUCUGAUUUUAUAUCAAGUGUAUUUUUCCAAACAAUCAUUUAUCAACUAUGUAGAUUGUUAGGAGUCUUUUACUGACUGUUUGAGCAUUUGAAUUCUCUUGCUUGUGUGCUUGAACAUUGGAAGUCUCUUGCUUGUGUGCUUGAGCAUAAAAGUCUCUUACUUUAGUGUUUGAGCAUUGGAAGUCUAUUGCUUGUGUGCUUGAGCAAAUUGUAAUCUUGUGUGAUUAUAGUGAAAAUAUCUUGUAAUUAAAAGGGGACUAGAUUACUCUCAAGUUGUGAAAGGAACCAGGAUAACUCUGUAUGUUAUUCUUCAUUAUUACAUUUCAUAUUCGACGCCUACCUCUUGUAGCGGUAAAUUCAUGAUCAUCAAGCUAUGGAUAAGCUAGACAUCAAAUAACAAGAGUCACCACCACGCUUUAUUAUUUCCAAGGGAAAAGGGAAAAAGUACGAACAAAACCCAAAAGUAAGAAGUUUUCAAAUCAAAACUAAUAAAAUGUCAGAGAUUACAGGUAAGGGGGUUGGUUACACAGAGGGAAGGUGUUAGCAUCAAGGGAAAAGGGAAAAAGUACGAACAAAACCCAAAAGUAAGAAGUUUUCAAAUCAAAACUAAUAAAAUGUCAGAGAUUACAGGUAAGGGGGUUGGUUACACAGAGGGAAGGUGUUAGCACCCAAAGUGCCCUAGGUACUCCUAGGGAGCCCUUUUUGUGUGCAUAUGUAUUUGGUACAAAAAUGAUGUUUACAAACAAAUAGAAUAAGGGGAUGAGAAAAGAAUUCAUUAAUUAUGUUUUUGUGUUUGACAAGACCUUCGGACUUGUGCCUACGUACCAACAUAAAAAUGAGGGAUCAAAAACUCGUAGUUCGUGAUACAAAUUUCAAAGUGGGUGCAUUGCUUUUAACAAAAUUAAGUUUGAAAGGCACAAAGGCCUAAAAAUGAUGUAUUCCGUAAGGAAAACUCACUGGGGAGACAGAGACUCUGGGGGAUAAAGGGGUUAUGCGUAGGCCAGGCUACGACUCAAAACUACUGGGGGACUCAAGGAAUUCCAUACAAAAUGGAAAGACUCAGCCGAGGAAACAAAACAUCUGCAGGGGAUACGAGUAAGUCAGGAUAAAACUGAAGUACUUGAAUCAUGCAGGGAAAGCGAUUUCACUAAGGAAAUGCACACUCAACUCAAUUGGGGAAGAAAUAAACUUCAACAUAGGAGGAGCAGAAAUCUAUUAUCUACUACCUGUUACUGGGUAAGGAGAUAAUAAAUAUCUGACAGAGAGAACACCCGCCAUCGGUUAGGAUGAACAUAUCAAGUAUGACUCGCCGAGGGAAAGCCAGGAGGGAGUAUUCAUUACUGGUUACUGGGUAAGAAUAGCCUUGCUGGGGAAAACUAUAGAAAAAUAGGAUUUACAACUACCAGUUACUGGGUAGAAGACCAAAGGUGAGAAUAUCCGCCAUCGGUUAGGAUGAACAUAUCAAGGAUAGACUCAACAGGGAAGAAGAUCCGUCAUCGGUUAAGAUGAACAUAUCAAGGAUAGACUUGCAUGGGAUUGUCAUGGAGGAUACCCGUCAUCGGUUAAGACGAACAUAUCAAGGAUAAACCAACUGAACAAAAAGUAGGAAUUACAUCUAUCGAAUGCUGGAUAGAAGACCAUCAAAGAGAAAAUUUGUCACCGGUUAAGAUGAACAUAUCAAGGAUAGACUCUGAGAGGGGAGAAAAUAGGGAUUGCAUUUAUCAGUUACUGGAUAGAAUACCAUCGAAGAUAAAAUCCGUCACCGGUUAGGAUGAACAUAUCAAGGAUAGACUCUAAGAGGAAAAAGCAGGGUUUUCAACUACAGGUUACUGGGUAGAAUACCACAAAGAGAAGUAAACCCGUCAUCGGUCAGGAUGAACAUAUCAAGGAUUACCUCUCUGGGGAACACAAUAGGGAUUACAACUACCUUUUUACUGGGUAGAACACCAAGGAUGAGAAUAUUCGUCAUCGUUUAGGAUGAACAUAUCAAGGAUAGACUCAGGAAGGGGAGAGAAAGAUAUUUGUCACCGGUUAGGGUGAACAUAUCAAGGAUAUACUUCCUGGAGAAUCAGAAACAAAUGAAUCUACUAGGGAUUCCACUACUGGGAAAAUAGGGAUACUUUUGUCGGGUAUUGGGCAAGAAGUAACAAACUGCAAACUAAGAAUAUUACUAGUUACUGGGUAAUAAGCUCUUAGGAGACUCAAAGCAUCUAUCUAGGUAAGAACUAGAAAGAAACAGUUAUUCAAGACUCAGCUCAAUGAGGACACAACUCAAGGGGAGUGAUUCCAUCCAGAUAAUCAACUGGGAAGGAAACUGAAGUAAUAAUCAUCCAUGAGGAGACAACUCAGUGGGGAAUAGGAGAAAGGUUAAAGUCUUUCUGCCUAAGGGGAUGACACUCUACAAUUGAGAGAGGACAGACACCGAACUCAUAUGGGGACAAAGUACCUCCAUACAGAGAAUUAGAAUCUCAAAUCUACAAAUCAAUCAAAUAUGAUGGUAUCAAUAUGCAAAUUAUGAAAUUAUAUGAAUGUAUAUGUAUAUAUAUGUAUAUGAUGAUUAUGCUGAUAAAACGAUCACGAAGGAUAUAAAGGUGUCGCAAAGAAUUUGAAUCAUCGGUACAAUCCUCGGUCAAUCCAUAAAAAGAGGGAGACAACUGCUGGAGAACAAAGAAAUCAACAAACCAAAGGCUCAAAUCUAGUCCAGGGAGGAGAUCCGCUGAGGAGAGGAGAAGUUAUCGAGUCUGCAGGGAAUUUUAGGUCAAUGCCAUAUCAAAUAGGAGACAACCAUACAAAAGAUAAACACAAAACAGCUGCUCAAAAACCAAGAGGAAACUCUGACUGGGAACGAUUCGGAUGGCGACUGGUGGGGAAACCAAUACGAUCUACUGGGGAAAACAUCUUACUCUACUGAAGAUCAACCCUGCAAAAGAAUCAAGAUCUCCAUUGGGGAAUGCCAUACGGUGAACUAACUUUAUGUGUUUUUGCUUUGGAAAGCAAAUGUCGCGGUUAGCAAGAGUCGCCACCGACUUUUCUUUUAUCCAAUAAGGAAAGGUGGAAAAGAACAGGAAAGACCUUAAUUUAGAUUUUUGGGUUCGAGGAGGUACAUUAUAACAAAGGGAAGGUUGUUCACACCCCUUUGUAUCCAUGGUUAUCCAUGGGCUCUUAACUGCUUAAUCACUUAUGUUUUUCUUAUUUGAAAAAGUGGGUGAGAAAUGUUUAGGAAAUGUUUUGAAAAGGAGAAUUUAACUUUGUAAUGAUUCUUGUAUGAAUGUAUACAAAGUGGUUAUCUCGUCCAGUUUUGAAAAUAGCUUAGAAAAAUAUAACUUGGCAAUGAUUCUAGUACGAAUGUAUGCCAAAUGGUGACUUUCUAAAAGAUGUUUUGAAAGGUGUGAGGUGUGAAAGGUAUUGUAAGUUGUGGAUAAGCAAUUAAGAGUUAUACCUACCCAAGGUCUUUACGGGCAUUUCCUAUCCUUAUGAGGGUAAAACUGUCCUUACUAUUGAGAAGUAAGUAGUCUUAUCCCUUUGGAUGUAAAAGGGUCAUCGUAGGGUCAUCGAUUGGUCAUUGAAGGCAACAUUUGUGAGGAUACCUUAGCAUUCGAAGGGACGAUCAUCACUUAACCGUAAGCUAUACCGAAGGGUCAUCGAGGGACAAAGGCAACAUUCGAGAGACUAUGAUGAUUUAACCGAAGGGUCUUUGCUAAGUGUAUCCCCACAUUCGCGGGACCUGACCAUAAUACCGUAAUAUCGUAGGGUAACAAAGAGAGGUCCAAGAUCGCAUAUUUGAAGGCAAAAUUUUACAAUUAAUUAGAUGGCCGUAAUCGAUUAAGUACUUAGGUCCACAUUAAAAUCGAUGAAAUCAAUACAUUAAAAAUCAGCUAGGUAAUUUAGAAUGAAUCUCCACAUUAAAAUUAAAUAAUUCAGAAUCCAUCUCCAUAAGGGUAUCCCACACAUAAAGUGGAAUACCUAGCCGGCCGUUUCCUCGGGAAUAUGUAAGCCUUUACACAAUUCAGCACACGGGUUAGAACAUCGAGAUAAGGUACAAUUGAAAAUUGCACCACAAAUAAGGGUAUCCCACACAUAAAGUGGAAUACCUAGCCGGCCGUUUCCUCGGGAAUAUGUAAGCCUUUACACAAUUCAGCACACGGGUUAGAACAUCGAGAUAAGGUACAAUUGAAAAUUGCACCACAAAAAUAAACACAACAGUCAUAAAGUCAGGCCAAACAAUGCAGAAUUAUGGUAAAUCUUGAUUAGAUAAACAUAAGGCAGAACAGAAAGAAACAAAACAGCCACUGUCCCGUUCGCUCCUGCUUCGCCUAGCGAAGGCUCAGCGAAUGCUCGCUACAGGCUCGCUGAGCGAUGUGCUAGCGAGUGACUACGGGUUUGGAAUUGGAUAGCAGCAUGAUCUCCGGAACCCUGAACUUUAUGGCAUUUAAUUACAGGAAUAGCAUGGACAAACAUUCAGGAUAUUCAAGCAUACUUAAAUUCACAUGUGAAAUCAAAUUACAUAUCCGAAAUUUUAAUCAUGAUGCUUUAUGUAUGUAGAGAUUACCGAUUAAAAGCAUAAAACAGUAGUGAUGCGCAAACCUGCUUGCAACUGAGCUGCGAUGUUGAAGGGACUGACCACUCUUGGUAUCGGAUGGAGUUGGGCGGAGGUAACUUCGGCGCGGAUGAGCGGCCUUCAGGGUUUCUUUACUCGGAAUUCUCUGAGUUAGUCUCCAGGGUUUCUACGCCAGGGUUUAUGUCCGUCUUCCUCUGUCCCUUUUCGUGACUGAAGUCCUUAGUAUUUAUAAUGCUUUUGGUGACCUAAUGGGCUCAGAAUGAAGCCCGAAAAUUCUGAUAUAUCGCAAGCUUCGCUAGGCGAAGGAGUUGCUCGCCUAGCGAGCAAGCUAGUUUGGGCCUUCUUCUGGAUUGCAAGCUUCACUAGGCGAGUGGUAUAACGAAGGGUUCGCUAGGCGAAGGAAUUGCUCGCCUAGCGAGCAUGCCAGUUUGGGCCAUUUUCUGGAUUUGGCCCCCUGUGAGCUGGGUCUUUGUUCCUUUGGGAUCAGUGCCUUGAAAAUAAGUUGGAGUGUCCUGGAAAAUGCCUUGUAAUAUUAACGGGCAAAUUUUGGGGUAUGACAGGGAACACUGCCUGGGAAAUAACAUGUCGGGAGGUACUGAAUCAACCAACUCAGCUAGGGAAAAGGAUCGAAAUUCUGCUAGGGAAUAAACACUCCGCAGGGGAACCAGAUCAACACAAAUAACUAGGGAUACCCGAAGGGUUAACUGCUUGGGGAACCUCUGAUGUUUCACACUUAAGGACUUGCUGCUCUUUGAAAUAUUGUUGAUACUUCUUUUUAAUUGCUUUGAAAAUUCUUGUUUUUAUAUGUUUUAAGAAAAUGAUUUUGAUUAAAAAAAUUUAAAUUUCCAAAAUGAUCAUAAUAAAAUUUAAACUAUUGGCUGAAGUAAAUAAGAGUAGAAAUAAUUUGAACAAAAGUUCAACUUUAUUUAAUGGGAUGGUAGUCUGUAAAUGACAAGACUCCAUAGAUUUUUACAGAGUUGAAAAUGGUAAUUUUCAUGGAAAAGGGUUACAUUGAAUACAAAUGAUCCUUAAUCCUUCUACCAACUCUUGAUAUCCACUGUGCUCUUGACCUCUAUUGGGAUGAUGAAUCGACAUCAAUCCUCGUGCUCAACUAAGGUCUUUCCGAUACUGGUCGAUCAACAGAUUGCAGUUACUUGCCAUAAUCCCUAAUUUUUGCAUAAGUUGCCCCAAGGAGGGGUACUCAACUUAUCGCGAAAUUCUUUCUAUUUUUAUGUCUCUAAUUUUUGCCUGGAUCGCCCUUUCGGGUUUUCAAUCCACCGGGACGCUCAUUUUUGCCUAAGCCGCCCUUUCGGGUUUUCAACUUAGCGAGUUGUUCUUUUCUUUUUUAGGCGAAGUAUUUCUUGAUUGCAUCUGCGUUCAUAGGACGAGUGAACUCUUCACCAUCCAUAGUUGUAAGAAUCAAAGCACCGCCUGAAAAGACUCUCUUAACAACAUAUGGGCCUUCAUAAUUAGGAGUCCAUUUUCCCCUAGAAUCUUGUUUGAACGACAAGAUCUUUUUGAGCACAAGGUCACCUUCUCUGAACACACGAUGUCUGACCUUCUUAUCAAAAGCUUUCUUUAUUCUCUGCUGAUAUAACUGACCAUGACACCUGACAGUCAAUCUUUUCUCUUCAAUCAAAUUCAACUGAUCAAACCUGGUCUGACACCAUUCAACCUCAGUCAACUUGGCUUCCAUGAGCACACGCAAUGAAGGAAUCUCAACCUCUACGGGGAGCACUACUUCCAUACCAUACACGAGAGAGAAAGGGGGUGUCCCUGUUGAAGUGCGGACGAAUGUACGAUACCCAUGCAAGGAAAAUGGGAGCAUCUCAUGCCAAUCCUUAUAUGUGACAACCAUAUUCUGAAUAAUCUUCUUAAUGUUCUUAUUUGCACCUUCAACAACCCCAUUCAUCUUAGGUCUGUAGGGAGAAGAAUUAUGAUGUGCAAUCUUAAAAUCCUUGCAAAGAGCUUCUACCAUAUUAUUAUUCAAGUUCGAUCCAUUGUCAGUAACGAUCUUGCUUGGCACACCAUAACGUCAUAUGAUUUGAUUCUUGAUAAACCUUACAACGACUUGCUUGGUUACAUUUGCCUACGAUGCCGCUUCAACCCAUUUUGUGAAGUAGUCAAUUGCCACCAAAAUGAAACGAUGUCCAUUCGAAGCUUUGGGUUCAAUCAUCCCAAUCAUAUCAAUUCCCCACAUGGAGAAGGGCCAUGGGGAAUAAAUAACAUUCAAUAGUGUCGGAAGAACAUGAAUUUUAUCAGCAUAUAUUUGACAUUUGUGGCACUUCUUCACAAAUUUGCAACAAUUAGAUUCCAUUGUCAGCCAAUAGUAACCUGCUCGCAACAUCUUCUUUGCCAUUGCAUGUCCAUUGGAGUGAGUACCAAAGGAACCUUCAUGCACUUCAGUCAUCAACAAGUAUGCUUCGUGUCUAUCCAAGCAUCUGAGCAAAACCAUGUCAAAGUUUCUCUUGUACAGUAUAUCACCAUUCAAGUAGAAAUUACCGGCUAAUCUUCUCAAAGUCUUCUUAUCUUUCAAGGAUGCCCCGGAUGGGUAAUUUUGACAUUGGAGGAAACAUUUGAUGUCAUAAUACCACGAAUUCUCGUCUCUGACUUCUUCAACAGCGAACACAUGAGCUGGUCUAUCAAGACGCAUCACCGACAAAUUGGGAACUUCAUUCCAAUACUUCACUACAAUCAUUGACGCCAACGUUGCAAGAGCAUCUGCCAUCCGGUUCUCAUCUCGAGGGAUAUGAUGAAAUUCAACCUUUGUAAAGAAAGUUGAAAAUUCCAAUACUUCACUACAAUCAUUGACGCCAACGUUGCAAGAGCAUCUGCCAUCCGGUUCUCAUCUCGAGGGAUAUGAUGAAAUUCAACCUUUGUAAAGAAAGUUGAAAUCCUCCUCGCAUAAUCUCUCUAUGGUAUUAAACCGGGUUGAUUUGUCUCCCAUUCACCUUUGAUCUGAUUCACAACCAAAGUUGAAUCUCCAAAGACAUCCAAAUACUUGAUUCUGAGAUUCAUGGUCUCUUCAAGCCCGAUAAUACAAGCUUCAUAUUCUGCCAUGUUGUUCGUACACUUGAAAGUCAAUCUAGCUGUAAAUGGUAGAUGCGUGCCUCGAGGAGUAAUGAUCAUUUCCCCAAUGCCAUUACCAUACCGAUUAACAGCUCCAUCAAAUACCAUGCCCCAACGGGAACCAGGUUCUGGCCCUUCUUCAAACAAUGGUUCGUCACAAUCUUUCAUUUUCAAGUACAAAAUCUCUUCAUCAGGAAAGUCAUACUGCACUGACUAAUAAUCUUCAAUCGGUUGGUGAGCCAAAUGAUCAGCCAAGAUACUACCUCUGAUUGCUUUCUGAGAUCGGUAUUCGAUAUCAUACUUUGAUAACAACAUCUGCCAAAGGGAAAUCCUCCCAGUUAAAGCAGGCUUCUCAAAUAGAUACUUGAUCGGAUCCAUUUUGGAUACCAACCAAGUGGUAUGAUUCAACAUAUACUGGCGCAGACGCUUAGUAGCCCAAGCCAAUGUGCAACAAGUCUUCUCAAGCAUAGAAUACCGAGUCUCACAGUCGGUGAACUUCUUACUAAGGUAGUAAAUUUCAAACUCUUUCUUUCCAGUAUCAUCUGCUGACCAAGAACACAACCCAUACUCUCAUCAAGCACAUUCAAAUACAUGAUCAACGAUCAUCCUUCAACAGGUGGAGACAGAAUCGGAGGUUCAAGCAAAUAUUCUUUGAUACCGUCAAAAGCUUUCUGGCAGUCUUCGAUCCAAUCACAAGACUGAUCUUUCUGAAGAAGCUUGAAUAUAGGCGCACAUGUAGCAGUCAUGUGGGAAAUGAAUCUGGAGAUAUAAUUCAAGCGGCCGAGAAAACCUUUGACUUGCUUCUCAGUUUUGGGUGCAAGCAUCUCUUGUAUUGCUUUGACCUUGGCAGGAUCAACUUCAAUACCCUUCUCGUUGACAAUAAAGCCCAACAACUUACCAGAACGAACACCAAGAGUACACUUAUUGGGAUUCAAGUGGAGUUUAUAUUUCCUCAAACGCUGGAAUAGCUUCAACAAAUGUUCAACAUGUUCCUUUUUAUCAAUUGAUUUAACAAUCAUGUAAUCGACAUAAACUUCAAUCUUUUUAUGCAUCAUAUCAUGAAAAAGAGUAGUCAUUGCUCUUUGGUAAGUUGCACCAGCAUUCUUUAAACCGAAAGUCACCACUCUAUAACAGAGUGUUCCCCAAGGUGUAAUGAAUAUGGUCUUCUCCAUAUCUUCGGUUGCCAUCUUGAUCUGAUUAUAUCCGGAAAAUCCAUCCAUAAACGAAAAGACUUUGAAUUUAGCAGUAUUGUCUACCAACAUAUCAAUGUGUGGCAGAGGGAAAUCAUCUUUCAGAAUGGCUUUAUUCAAAUCUCUAUAAUCAACACACAUGCAAACCUUUCCAUCUUUGUUCGUCACAGACACAAUAUUGGCCACCCAUUGCGGAUACUCAGCGGUCACAAGGAAACCGACGUCAAUCUGGUUCUGCACUUCCUCUUUGAUCUUCACAGCCAUAUCAGGAUGUGUUCUUCUCAACUUCUGCUUGACUGGCGGGCAUUCUGGCUUCAACGGUAAUUUAUGCUCAACAAUCUCAGAAUCCAAACCAGGCAUGUCUUGAUAGGACCAAGCAAACACAUCUGAAUACCCUCGAAGAAGAUCAAUCAACCCCUUUUUGACAUUUGGACACAGGCGAAACCCAAUCUUGACUUCCUUCACAUUAUCCUCAGAACCCAAGUUGACUAGCUCAAUCUGCUCUUCGAAUGGAUGAAUGGUCUUUCAUCUUGCUCAAGAAGACGAGAUAAUUCAUCACUCACUUCUACAUCACUUUCCUCCUCGACUUCAAACAAAGGGAAUUUAAAAUUUGGAGAAGGAGGAGGAUCAUUGUAUUCAAUGGGGUUAGAAACCAACCUGCAUAAUGAUUUGAUAUUUUGAUUUUAGAGAAGUGAAUUUGUGACCAAAUAUUAUACAGAUGGACAAUUAUAUUAUUUAUUUAUGUUAAUGAUUUGAUAUUUUGAUUUUAGAGAAGUGAAUUUGUGACCAAAUAUUAUACAGAUGGACAAUUAUAUUAUUUAUUUAUGUUUUUUGUGAUUACCAUUUUCAGAAUAAAGCAAAAAGUAAAAACAAGACAUCAUAGAUGUGGAUGAAUAGAAUUAAUUUUAUUUAAGAUCAAUUUGAAAAUGCCUAAAAAAUGUUCACUUCUCCCUUAGGCAUAGGAGAAGGAUUUUUCAAAACAUAUAAAAGCAAUUACUUAGAUCGAUGCAAAAUAACAGGAAUAUCAACAACGGUCCAAUUGUUGCAAGCCUUUCCAUGCGUCACAGAAUUGGUGCAGUCUUCCUCUUCGUCAUCCUCUAAGACAUCAGCUAAGUGUUGUUCAUUGCCAUGAAUGAACCCUCCGCUACGGAAGCUAAGUUGCAUAUCUUCAAACCUUACAGUUGAUGAACCUUUCUGGAAACCUAGAUCAGUUUUGCCUUUGUUGUCGGAGACCUCUACCAUGCGCCCCCACUGAUCCACAUUGCCUUCUUCUACAACCUUCUUAGCAUCUUUCAAUGAGGACAUAGGUGCCCUAACUCUCUUUUCAACAACAAUAGAUAAGGCUUGGAAUGGAGUUCCAACCUCAUCCUCAACUUCCAUAUAAGAGAAAGAUGACAGGUGGCUAACCAACAACGCCUUCUCCCCACCAACAAUCACAAGCUUUCCAUUUUUCACAAAUUUGAGCUUCUGGUGCAAAGUGGAGGUAACAGCUCCUGCCUUGUGGAUCCAUGGCCUUCCCAAAAAGCAACUGUAGGUCGUGUGGAUAUCUAUUACUUGAAAAGUAAUUUGAAAAUCACUCGGACCAAUCUUUAUUGGAAGUUCCACUUCACCAAUAAACAUUUUGCGCGAACCGUCAAAGGCCUUGACGAUUACACCACUAUACCUCAUAGGCGCUCCUUGGUAUGAUAGCUUUGACAGAGUUGACUUCGGUAGUACAUUCAGUGACGACCCAGUGUCAACAAGCACAUUUGACAAAGCAUCCUCUUUGAAAUUUAUAGAAAUGUGCAAAGCCAGAUUAUGAUUUCUACCCUUCUCAAGGAGUUCUUCAUCACAUAAGCUAAGAUUAUUGCAAGAAGUGAUGUUAGCCAUGAUAUGAUCGAACUAAUCCACUGUAACAUCAUGUUCUACAAAAGCUUGUUCAAGAACUCUCUGUAGUGCUUCUCUGUGCGCUUCAGAGUUCAUGAGCAGAGACAACACUGAGAUUUUUGAGGGGGUUUGGAGCAGCUGCUCCACCACAUUAAACUCACUCCUUUGGAUUAACCAAAGUACCUCAUCAUCAUCGUUAGCCUUCAAAUCGCUAGAUUCACCAAACUUACCUUUUGAAACACCAACUGGAUCUACUACAGGCACUUCCACCUUCUUAUUAACAACUGAUUCUUCUUUAUCCUUUGAGAACACCGACCCAAACACACGACCACUGCGGGUCACCUUGGUAACAUCAGCAAUGCUCACCACAGAGCUAGUCGUAGGUAACGGGACCUCUUGACUAUCUUUCAUCAUCAUAGCAUUAUACUGAUACGACACAACUUUAUCAGAUAAAUACGGGACUGGGCCCACUAACCAUAUAACCAACGUCGAUACUGAUCUAUUGUUGAUAUUAUUACUGUUGUUGCUGUCGUACUGAAUUACCAAUCUCUCUAGCUGCUUAAAAAUGGGAACUAUGACAUUUACAUUGUCAUCUAUAUGACAGGAUUGAACAAUUUGAAUCAUGCCUUCAUCCAUCAGUCGCUGGAUGUCCCUUUUCACAACUUCGCAACCCCUCGGGUUAACACUACAGAUAACACAACUGUCAUGGUCAUGUUCACAAUCACUCACCAAAUAAAUGUCCUUAUGCAUCUACACCAAGGACCUCCAGAUAAAACGUACAUCAAAAACCUUAAAAUCACCAGGACAACCAUCCACCAUAUUUACAGAAGAGUUCCCAUGAGCGGGCAAUGAAUUUGCUUUCACUUUCGACGCACGGUCCUCGAAGGACACCAUUCCACUCUUCAUCAACUUUUGGACCUCAUACUUGAGCGGAUAACAGUUCUCUAUAUCAUGUUCGGGUGCUCCUUGAUGAAAAGCACAACGGAGUUCAAGCUUGUACCAUCAUGGAAGUGGUUCUAGAAUCUGCGGUGAGUUCCUUGAUUGGAUUAGGUUCUUGAGAACCAAAGACGGGUAUAAUUCUACAUAAGACAUAGGAAUCGGGUCGAAAGUGACCUUCUUCCUCUCAAAGUUUUGUUGAUGACGAUUGUUGUUGGUAUUGUUGUUGUUGUAGGUGUUUGUUCGUUGUUGCGGCUGUUGUUGUUGACGUUGUGGUUGUUGUUAAACUGGUAUUGAUUGUUGAUUAGAAAAUACAGGGAUAACUGAAGAUACUUGAUGAUGAUGUUGACAUGAUGGUUGAUUCCUUCUGAUCUGAGGCCUCCUCGGCCUCCCACUACUUAUUGCAUUCGCUUCAUUGUCCUUUUUCUUCCCAAAAUUGCUACCAGACCUCUUACUCGAAGAUGCUUCAUCUUUCGACAAACGUCCCUCUCGGACUCCUUCCUCAAGCCUCAUCCCCAUGUUUACCAUUUUGGUAAAGUAACUGGGGGCACUAGCAAUCAUACGUUCAUAAUAAAAUGAACUCAGAGUUUUCAGAAAGAUCUUUGUCAUCUCUUUUUCCUCCAAAGGAGGAGUGAUAUGGGAAGCCAAUUCCCUCCAUCUCUGCGCAUACUCUUUAAAUGUCUCCUUAUCUCUCUGAGACAUAGACCUCAACUGGUCUCUAUCAUACGCCAUAUCCAUAUUAUACUUAUACUGCUUGACAAAAGCCUCUCCCAGGUCAUUGAAAGUACGAACACUUGCAUUGUCUAAUCCCAUAUACCAACAGAGCGCAACACCAGUCAAACUAUCUUGGAAGUAGUGAAUCAACAGUUGAUCAUUGUCGGUCUGAGUAGACAUAUUGUGAGCAUACAUCACUAGGUGACUGAGUGGACAAGUGUUCCCUUUAUACUUUUCAAAGUCAGGUACUUUGAACUUCACCGGGAUCUUCACAUUGGCCACUAAACACAACUCAGCAACACUCUUUCCAAACAAGUCCUUACCCCUCAAUGUCUUCAAUUCCUUGCGCAACUCAAGAAACUGAUCUUUCAUUUCAUCCAUUUUCUCAUAAACAUCCGGACCCUCAGACGGCUCGAAGUGAUAAAUGGUGUCCUCUACACGAGGUAAGGUGUGCACAACGGGAGGUGGCACAGACAUGACCGGGCUAGAUGCUGGCAUGGAAGCAAAAGUAGGCGCAAAGCCUUCAGGCAUAAAGUUGGACGAUAAUCCCCACGGGAAUCCGGCAGGCAUAGUGGGUGCAAAAUGAGCGGUAGCAGCAGGCAUGGUAGAGGUAGCCACCUCUGAAAUAAUUGUCCUCUGAGGAGGAGGAGUUGCAGGCGUUGGAGAAGAUUGACUCUGAGCAGCAAGAACUGACUCCAUCAUGGCAGUCAGGAGGGCGAUCUCGUCCUUCAUCUCUCUGUUCUCUUGCUCUAGAUGAUCCAUAAUUCUCAGAUGAUUGGCGCGGGUGUUGUACCGAUGAGUCAGCUUGGCUAAAGCAUAGAAGAAACACCAAUGAGACAUCUGGCGAAAGAGAAAUCUGCUUAUGCAAAUGAUGCAUGGAAUGCAAUGCUUUGUUGUUUAUUUUUGUUUUCAAGGAACUUACUAUAUCAUUUGCAAAUAUAAAUAUAUAUAAUAUAUAUAAUAUAUAUAUAUAUAUAUAUAUAUAUAUAUAUAUAUAUAUAUAUAUAUAUAUAUAUAUAUAUAUAUAUAUAAUAUAUAUAUAUAUAUAAUUAUAUCAACAAUUGCAAUAAUUUUUGUAUGACCAAAAAUCUCUUUUCAUUUAUAUAAUUGGAAGGAUUAAACUGAGUAUAAUUUCAGAAAGCAAAAUAAAAAUACAAGAGAAAAGGAGACUAGUCAUCCUAAGGAUCCCUAACAACAAUGUCAGAAGACCUAGCUGAAGGCACGUACUUCCUUCGAAUGCGUCGAAUCUCGGUCUCAAAAGAAGCCUUCAUCUGAGUCUUCUCGAGGAUAAGCUGAUCAACAAUCUUCUUCCAAGCAACGGAAGACUGAGGCAUGCUAGAAGAUGAAACCUCUGGCUCUCUCUGUCUCUUUGUCACUCGGUCUUCAAGUAGCUCAAUAAGUGCAUCCUUGUCCUUAGACUCCAACUGCAACUCUUCAUGCUUCUUGCUCAAAGCAUGGAAAUGCUCUUCCCAGAUAUCCUUUUCUUGCUUCAUCUUGACGAGCGCGUCUUCCAACUCCUCUACAUCCCGGUUAGGGAGAGUUAUUGGCUCCACCACAACCAUAGACAUAGGUCUUUCACAAGGAUAAGGCAUCUUCAACUCCAAAGCUCUCUUCUUCACCCAAAGAGUGUAAGCUUCCAAUGCUACACAAUUGCACGAACCAAGCUCAGAUCUUCCUUUCCUAUGCACAUUAUGCCAAACAUGUACAAUCUUCUACUUCAAAUGUUGGGGAUAUUUACCCUCUUAAUAUAAAAGACCUUCUAACAAAGUGUUAUUAGGUUUGUCUCUCAAAGGGAACCCAAGUUGACGAUGAGCCAAAGCAGGGUUGUAGUUUAUUCCUCCUUGUGUACCAAUGAGAGGGACAUUAGAGAAUUCACCACAACUAUCAAUAAUCUCCAAACUGCUCAAAGAAGGAUCAUACGAAACUAUAUCAUCAUUAGUGAGAGACAUAAGUCUCUGAGACCACCGUAGACAUUGUUUGUUCUCCACAAAAGCAGGUGUCUGAGGCAAGUGCGAAAUAAACCACUUGUACAGAAGAGGAAUACAACAGACUAUAGUUCCACCACCUUUAGAAUUCCUUAGAUGCAAAGAGAAAUACAUAUCACCCAACAAAGUAGGCACAUGAUUCCCAAUCAAGAAAAGCCUAAUGGCGUUAACAUCAACAAAACCAUCAAUGUUAGGGAACAAAGCUAAUCCAUAGAUGAGCAACACAAAGAUAGCUUCAAAAGCAUCCACACUACCAGCUUGAGCAAAAGUAGUAGCUUCCUUGAUGAGGAAAUCAGAUGGCAACCCAAAUAACCCUCAUUUCUUCACCCAAUGAGCCUCUAUCUCAGACUUCUUCAAGUGAAGAGCUUCAACAAUAAUAUUAGAUCGAGGAAUCUCCUCCAAUCCACUAAAAGGAACUCUACUAGAAAUAGGUAUCCCCAAAAGAUAAGAAUACUCCUCCAAGGUAGGCAUAAGCUGAAAAUCUGGGAAAGUGAAACAACGACAGAGAGGAUCAUAGAACUGCACUAGCACACUCAAAAGUCCUUCAACCACAUCAGCAGACAAGAUAGAUAGAAGCUUCCCAUGGCGUUGUUUGAAGUCUAAGGAAUCAAAUACAAAAGAUGCUAGCUUCCUUAACUCUUUCAAGUAGGGACAUCUGAAACUGUACUUUUUAGUGUUCCUUCGUCUACAAUCCAUGGUCUGGAAAUAUUUGCAAAUGAUACCUCAGUUCCUUGAAAUUUUGUGCGAUGAAUGUUAUGAUGCGCAUGAAUGCAUGAAUGCAACAAUCACAAAUAAGGGAUCACACACAAGGCAAACAAAGGUCAAGGGAUGAAUCAAGUCAUUGUCAAGAUCAAUCAUCCAUUUUGGUGGAUACAAGGCAAACAAAGGUCAAGGGAUGAAUCAAGUCAUUGUCAAGAUCAAUCAUCCAUUUUGGUGGAUUAUGGUUUGCACCUUAUCAACACCCAAGUUCCAUUGAUAUUGACAAGACUUAAUUGGAUCACUCAAGAAUCAAGGGUUUAUUGUGAGUCACGAGCAUGGAGUCUGGGUAAGAACCAUCCCAAAGGAGUGAACUAAGGAUAAAAACCUGUAGAUCAUGUUCUAAAAAGUUCCCAGAGUCUUAAUUCCAUUUAUCGGAUAUUAUAGAUUAAGAUGACUGACUCAUCGACCCAUAAUAUUCUCAAGAGAAACUCGUCUGAGUGUAGUAGCGCGUAACAACUAUUAUCAAGUCUACACUUGAAUAGUUUCCACACUACAUCCUAAAUAGACCAAGAGGGGAUAAAUGUUCUACGGUCCUCAGCUUCUCGGACCCAAAUUAGAGAUAGUAAUGCCUAACCACAAAUACUUGUGUGACAUUUCCAGAUCCAAAAGAGUCUCCACUGAGCAGAUGGAUCUCAAGCCAACUUGUUAAGGACUACUCCACACAAGUUGAACAUGACUAUACCAUCCUCCUAUCUUAAUUGCACUCAAGUUAGGGUUAGAACUUAUCUUACCACUCAGAGAUCACCAAGCACAACAAGCAGAUUAUAUCAUAUAUACAUAUAUACAAACAUCACAUAUAUACAAAUAUAUACACACAAAAAGUAGGCUAAACCCACUAGAGACUACUCCCCAGCAGAGUCACCAUUUAAUUUCUGUAGUUGUAAAUUCAUGAUUAUCAAGCUAUGGAUAAGCAAGACAUCAAAUAACAAGAGUCGCCACCGUGUUGUUUCCAAGGGAAAAGGGAAAAAGUACGAACAAAACUCAAAAGUAAGAAGUUUUCAAAUUAAAACUAAUAAAAUGUCAGAGAUUACAGGUAAGGGGGUUGGUUACACAGAGGGAAGGUGUUAGCGCCCAAAGUGUUCUAGGUACUCCUAGGGAGCCCUUUUUGUGCGCAUAUGUAUUUGGUACAAAAAUGAUGUUUACAAACAAAUAGAAUGGGGGGAUGAGAAAAGAAUUCAUUAAUUAUAUUUUUGUGUUUGACAAGACCUUCCGACUUGUGCCUACAUACCAACAUAAAAAUGAGGGAUCAAAACCUCAUAGUUCGUGAUACAAAUUUCAAAGUGGAUGCAUUGCUUUUAAUAAAAUUAAGUUUGAAAGGCACAAAGGCCUAAAAAUGAUUUGAAUGAGUUAGUUCUUUUUGGCUUUUCUGAAAGUUUAACUCAAGUAUAGUUAAGUUUAUUUACAAAUUUGAUUUAAGAAAAGAAGUUUGAAAAUGCAAUGGCAUAAGGCCAAAGUUUCUAUCUUUUUACAAAGUGGUCAAAGUUUAGAACAAAAUAAGUUCAAACAAAGAAAAUUUUAAAAGGGGGGGGGGAGAUUUUGAAAUUAAAGAAAUGGGGAGAAGAUGAAGAGACUAAUCCUAUGCACAAAAUUAAAAGUUAAGAGUUGAAAAGAUCUGACCGAUGGGUAGCAAUCCAAUAGACAAGAAUGUCAAUAGAAACCCAGAUUCCCUUGGACAUUUAGAAUCAAACAACAUACAUAUUCCCAAUUAUAUUAUCUUGAAGAGCAAAGGCAUAAAAUAAAGAUAGCCACAUCCAAGCUUUAGCCACUCCAUAAUCUUCUUCAAAUUAGCCCAUGUAACAGAUGAAUUCCACAAGUCACAUGUUCAAAAUAACAACUUCACAAUGAUCAUGUUGCAGAUGAACUCAAAGGGAUCUUGAAUGAUGUAUCAGAUGAAGUUCCAAAUUGCAAGCACUUGGUUUCAUAAAAAGUUGGCAUUGGCCAAGUCCUUUAGCAUAGGAAUGUUGCCUAAAUUCUAAGUCCAAUUGUCCAAGAUCAAGUCAAUAAUCCACACAAAAGUUUUUUAAGGUUUUUGUUGUUAUUAUGUACAUUAAUGGUCAAAGACCACACAAACAAGCAAAGUAUACACAAACAAGAUAUAUCACACAAUAUGGUCCAAAUGGACAAAGUGAAAAUUGCAUUAACAUAAACAAUUAAGAAGAGGUCAUGAAUAAUGGAAAAUGAAUAAAGGCUAAAAUUAAAUGACAUUAAAGUAAAUGGCUUGAAAUUAAAAGUUAGUUGUUAAUGAGUUAGAAGUUAGUAUUUUUGCUUUUGCUUUUCAUUUUAAGUCAUUCUUUGGAGAACACUCACACAACUUAUCACAAGCAUGGAUCCUUGAGCCAAGACAUCUUCCAAAGGAAGGAAAAAUGCCAAGUUUCCACACAAAUACCAUGAAAUAGGGAGACUUAACAUCUCACUAACUAGAAUGUUAUGCCUUUGUGUCACAAAUUUAAGCGUUAUGUUAAGCAAUGUAAUUGGACUUAUGUAGAAGUCACAACUAUUUGAGGCCGGGCAAUAGAAUUUUGGUGUUAAUGCAUGUUAGAGACAUAAUAUAAUGGACUAUGCUCAUGAAACAUACCACACACAAAAAGAAUAUGCAAAAAAGGUGGCCUAAUCUCAUCCAUACUUAUGUUGAUUUUUUAAUCAACUAGCCUUAGGACUUUGAGAUAUCAUAGGCCAAAUGAGAUGAAUGCAUAAAGAAGGGGAAUGAGAUGAAGAGGAAGGGGAAUGAAUCAAAACUCAAAUUGGCCAAAUGAGGACUUUUACCAAAUUAAUAUCAUCCAUUCAUUUUGGGAGAUGGAAUGUACAUUCCAUCAAUUCCUUAAAUCCAAUUAUAUUAACAUGACAAAGUCCAAUCAACCUUGACCAAGACCCAACAACAAGAGUCAAACUCAAACAAGUCAUCACAAGUGGUCAACACAAUUAUUUGGCAUUUAUUCAAAUUAAAAAUACUAAAAUAAGGCAUUUAAAUUAAAUAUGGUUUGUCAAAUUCCUAAAACCUCAUCAAAACACCAAAGAAAUGGCCAUGAGAUUUAUCAACUAAAAUAAGGCAUUUAAAUUAAAUAUGGUUUGUCAAAUUCCUAAAACCUCAUCAAAACACCAAAGAAAUGGCCAUGAGAUUUAUCAUAGGUCAAACAAGGUCAAAGGACCUUGGAGAAAAAAUUUUAAAAUUUUUAAAGACUUAAAAGUAUUUUUAAACAAUUAAAAAUAAUCACAAAAUCAGUUAAAUCAUGAAAAAUAUUAAUAAUGAUCUACAAAAUAAUAUUAUUUCAAAAUAUGGAAGAGGAAAUUUUUUGAAAUUUUUUGGUGAAACUCUCAUAUUUUUUGGAUCAAUAUUAAAAUAAAUAUGAAUUAAUGAAAAUAAAAGGAUUAAAAUGAAAAUCAGAAAAUAGCAAAAAACGUGGACCACUUGAUCUCCCUCAUUAAUUGAGGUGGCAGAUCAAGUGGUCCUCAGUGCGCGUGAGAUUAAAACAUUUGAAAAGGAUCUUAUGGUUGGAGACAUGCCAACACACGGUCGGAGCUGGAGCUCCGGUCUUCUUCUCCGGUGGACCUCACCGGACUGGUCCACCUUCAACCAUCACCAAAAUAAAAAAAGAGGACAUGAUCUGAAAGAAAAAAUGGCGUAGAGCACGAAUCUGACCUCAAUUUCAACUAACUCAAAAUAUAUAAAAAAUAUGAGGAGUUGAAUUUUGAGGUGUGUCAACUGAGUUGCUUCGAUUUGACUUCUAAGCAACUCAAUCUUCUUGCCUACAUUGGUAGGACUUCAGACAACCAAAGAUCCAAGAGAAUUGGGUAUAAUUGAGUGAGAAUCGAAAAGAUGAAGUUUUCUGAAAAUUACCUUUAAUGUUAUGCAGUUCUUGAUGUUGCUUGCUCCAAACACGAUCUGAUUACACUUGAGAAGCUAACAGGAAUUGAUUAGAGAGGUUGCAAGGUUUUGGAUCCUGGAGUUCUUGAAUCUCUAACAUUUGAGAUUCAAACUCAAAUUUCAAAUUGAAAUUUCUCAGGUUUUCCUUUAGAAUGAGAGGGUUUCAAUGGGGGGCAAAGUUGGCACGCAAAGUCCUAUUCAAAUGAGCUCAGAGGCCUUCUAUUUAUAGCCAAAGGAAAUGAUAUUUGCACACUUCAAAUAUCUGUCCAAAAUUGGAAAUAUUGAUGGCACGAGUGCAUGGGCAUGUACAGGCCCAUGAUGCAAUGCAAAAAGGUCCAAAAUGAUUCCAAUUGAAGUCUGAAUGAAGCUUGAAUGGCAAGGCAAUGUGAACUGAAGUUUGUGCAAUUGAUCCUUUCCAAUGAUGCAGCUCUGUUAAAGCCAUGCGUAGACCUAGCAAUCUUUAUCCAAAAUGCAUGAACUUGGGUUCUUUGGAAAGCUUGGAUCAAGGGGAACAAGUUUAAUGUUGAACAUUUUUUCAUUUGGAGCUUGGAACAUGGAGAAUUUUGAGGUGGAAGUUUGGAAAUUUCAACAUGUUGAAAAUUUCCCUAAGUGUCAAGCCAUAUAUCUCAAUAUUCCACCUUGCUUAACUUUUUAUGUGUGCUUCAAAUGAGAAAAGUGUCUUCAUAAAAGUUGUAUCCCUUUCAAAAACCUUCAAAAUUGUCACUAAUUUCAUGUCAUUUGGAUUUAGAAUGAUAGAGUUAUGCAUUUUUGAAGUUUGGAAAAAUCACUUGUUCAAUGGUAUAAAUAAAAAAUGACCUAUAAUGUAACCUCAUAUCACAUGCUCAUAAAAGUUGAGUUAGCUCUCACUCCAAACAUCAAAGUUGAAGUAGACAUAUUGAAUUUGAUUGUGCAACUUGUAAAUCUUUCAUUUUAUAAAAAUUGAGCAAGUUAUGGCCUUGGGAAGUUGACUUUCAAAUUAGGGUUUAGACAAAAUGACCUAUAAUGUUUCAACAUAGAAAAUGAUUUCCAAGCAAAACUAGCUAUAGGUCUCAACAUGAAAGUUGUUUGGAAUGUAAUUUAGAGUAACGUUGCUCUUGGAAUCAUUUUCAUAUGGUGAAAAUUAUAGGAGAUAGGGUCUAGGGAGACCCAGUUUUGAUCAGAUGAAUUCAUCUGGCUAACCACCAUCAACCAACUUGCUAACCUUCAAUUAUCUUGACUUUCUUGGCUCAUGGUAGAUCAUAUAUGCAUAUGAUGAUGAAUUUUGAAGUGUCCCUUGAGAAAUUUGAUCAAUUAGUGAGAUAGCUUGUUGGAGAAGUUACUCAAGAUACCCAGUCAAACUAUGGUUUCCAAGGCAAAUCACCUCCAAACUCUUGAAGAAAACUUGAUCAAUAUAACAUGUAGGAAUCAAUGGAACUUAUAUAUGAUGCUCAUAACCAUUAUUGGAUAAAUUCAUGGUUGUGCUCUUUGUCAUGAGGGUCUUAAAUCCUAGAUAUGAACUUGAUAAAUCAGUGGUGAUCACGCCUCACCUACAACAGAGUUAGGAAAAUGCAAAGACAUAUUUGUGAUAUUUUGGUUAGCAAAAUAUGAUGAUAUACAAGUAUGAUACAAUCACAUAGUGCUUGGUGAUCUCUCCCAAAACAAACCCAAUAAAAGAGGGGUAAGGAGGAUGCCAAGGUAUGAUCCUAAUGCUAAUGCAUAUGAUGAAAUUGCAUGAGGGAUCUUAUGGUCAAAAUUGGGGUCUUACACCUCUGACUGAAUCAAAUUCUACAACCUGGUGUUUAGAAUAUGACCAAAAGUUUAAAAAAAAGAAAAGAAAAAUUCAACACAAUUCAAACCCCCCUUCUUGUGUUUUUCUCACCUUCACAUUCAAGUAUAGAGACUCGUUAAAGAAUGUUUUAAUUUGAAUGACUAGAGAUGCAUCAUUUGGUUGCCUAACAUAAUUCAAGUUAUUAAGAAAAAUGGUUUAGUUAUGAUAUGAAUUGAUUACCACAACAUAUGUCUCGAAACCCCAAAACGAUGAGUAUGUGAUGAUAUUGGUCAUCAUGUUAUUUGACGUUACAUCUAGAUGCAUUGUUCUCACUUUCAUAUAUUAGUACUCUAGCUACGAUAAAAUAUUUGUAGCCAAUGAAGACAUUCAUAAGACACUAUUCACAUGUUCAAAUGGGCUCAAGAUUUAUGAUUGGUUAUUCCCUUCAGACCUUAUAAGCAAGAUCAUAAAUGCUUAUAUUAAUGACGUGGUGGUAAAACCUAAUGAUUUCCAACGGAAUUUAUGGGAACUAGAGCAAACCUUCAAAGAAAUGAGGUUACAUAGUUUGAAGAUGAAUCUAAUAAAAUACGUGCUUGGAGUAUCAAUUUGUGGUUUUAUAAGGUUCUUGAUAAAUAAAAAGUGAAUAAAAUCAAAAAUAUGGAUCCUUUAGGGUUAAUGGUUCCUUCCUAAGUUGUAUGGGUAAAAUGAACUAUUUCAAGAUCAUAUGCAAAUCUAUGUGAAGGAUUUUGUGGAUCCUUUAGAGUGUAUUUGGAUGAGGUAAUUGAGAAAUUUUAAGGAAUUCAAAAUUUUAAGCAAUUUAAAUGAUUCAUUUGAAAUUCAUUCAUUUUAAAAAAAUAUUUGGAUGAAGUAUUAUAAUGAUUCCUUGUUAAAAUUUUGGAGUCUUUUUCAUUAUUUUAAAAUUUUUGAACCAAAUUUAAAAUAUGAAAAACAGAGACCAAUUUUCAUUUUUUUUUAAAUUUGAAGGGGCUAAAAUGUAAAAUUUGAAAUGUAAAAUGUAAAAUUUAAACAGAGACCAAUUUUAAAUUUGAAGGGACUAAAAUGUAAAAUUUAAAAUGUAAAACGUAAAUAGAGACCAAUAUUUUGAAAAUUUUAGGUGUGAAUUUGAAUUUUUUAUAAAGUUUGAGGACCAUCUUGCAAAAUUUAAAAAAAUAAUAAUAAAAAAUUUAACCUUUGCAUUAUAGAGAGUGAAUGAGCAAUUUUAAACUCUUUACUUUUUAGUGUCAUUUGAAAUUAUUUAAAUUUAAUUUGAAUAAAAUACUUUAUAAAUUUACAUAAUUUUAAUGAUUCUCUAUUUUUUUAUAUUCAAACAAUAGAUUUUGACCAAAUCAUUUUAAAUUUUCUUAAAAAUUACUUUCCUUCAUUAAAAUAUUUCAUCAAAACACACUCUUAAAUUUAUUCUAUGAUGAAGUGAUUGAUCAAUUGUUAUGGAUAUUAUUUUCAUACCAUAACUAAUUAAUACUUUAAAUAUAAGGAAUGUGACGUAUGUCAACAGAAUGUUCUAAUACAAAGUGAUAUUCCCUAAUGUUUGUAUCAAUUAAUUAAACCCUAGUUAGUUAGAGGAUAUGAUAUGGACGUUGUUGGAGCUAUUUGUCUUUCCUUAUUUAAGAGACAUAAGCUUUUCAUACUGGAUAAUGAUAAUUUUAAAAAAUGGAUAGAAGUUUUUCAUACUGUUAUAAACUAAUAACUAUUAUAUUGAAUAUAAGAGAUAAUAUCUUAUUUAUUAUUAAGAUAAGAAUAUAUAUAAUAAUAUAUAUAUAAAUAUAUAUAUAUAUAUAAUAUAUAUAAUAUAUAAUAUAUAUAUAUAUAUAUAAUAUUAUAUAUAUAUAUAUAUAUAUUAUAUAUAUAUAUUAUAUAUAUAUAUAUAUAUAUAUAUAUAUAUAUAUAUAUAUAUAUAUAUUAUAUACAUGACACAAAAUAGAAAAACUAAAAAUAGAAUUCACACUUAUAAUUGUUUAUUCGUGAGACUAUAUACCAAGUCAUAUUCCUAAUAAUAGAAACAAAUUUAAAUAUAGUAAUAAUAAUAAACACAAAAUAUUUAACAUUUCCUCCCUUAAACUAUAUGCACAAUGCAUUUAAUUUAUUUUUGAAUCUUCAACCAUUCUCAUCAUCUUACGAAGUUUUAAAUAUUGAUCUAACUUUAUCGGCUUUGUCAUUAUAUCUGCAACCCGUUCUUCAGAAUUGCAGUAGCUUAUACCAUGACAAAAUGAAUUCCAUAAAAGCUUUAUUGUAGAGCUAUUAUCACAUUGAAUCAUAGUGCUCCUUUUUUCUGUAUGACCAAGCUUCUCUAACACCCUCUUUAACCAAAGACAUUGACAAACACAAGAUGCAACAACUAUGUACUCAGCCUCAGUAGUUGACAAUAUCACAAGUGGUUAUUUUUAGAGGACCAAGAUAUUGUUAGAGAACCAAGCAAGAAAAUAAAUCCAUAAGUGCUCCUUCAGCCAUCUAAAUCAUCGACAAAGUCACUAUUAGUGUAUGCCGCAAAGUUUGAGUUGCCUCCCUUUUUGUAAAAAAUACCCAAUUCAAUUGUACCUUUGAGGUACCUUAGUAUCCUUUCUGCUGCAAGCCAAUGAUAUUCAGUUGGACAAGAUAUAAAUAUACUAAUGAGACUUACUCCAUACAUUAAAGAAGGUCUUGUUGUAGUCAAAUACAUCAAACUUUCAACCAUCUUCAUGUAUAAAGUUGCAUCAACUUUGGUUCCGUCGUUAUUCUUUGAUAACUUUGUUCCCAACACAAUUGGAUUCUGCACUGAGUUACUAUUAUUCAUUCCAAACCUUACUAAGACUUCAUGAUCAUAUCUUCUUUGACACACAAAAAUCUCAUUUGGAUUUUGUAUUACCUCAAUUCCUAAAAAAUAUUGCAUCCUUCCCAAAUCAGACAUGUCAAAUUCUACUAUCAUUGAAUUUUUAAACUCUUCACACAUAUUCAUAUUGUUACAUGUAUAUAUUAAAUCAUCAACAUAAAGACUUACUAUUAACAAAUUGCUUCCUUCCUUUGUUUUUGUAAAUAAUGUAUGUUCACAAAAACAUUUUUCCAAAGUCUUCUCGAAUAAAGUAUACUUCUAUCUUGCUAUACCAUCCUCUUGGUGCUUGCUUAAGGCCAUACAAAUCCUUUUUUAGCUUGUAAAUUUUUUCUUCUUCACCUUUAUUCUCAUAUCCUAAUAGUUGCCUCACAAAUACCUCUUCAUUAAGUUCACCAUAGAGAAAUUCACUCUUUACAUCCAACUGAAAAACAUCCUAACUAUGUUGAGCAGCUAAAUCAAGUAUCAGUCGAAUGGUAUCCAGUCUGGCCACCAGAGAAGAUACUUCAGUGUAGUCAACUCCAUAUUGUUGUGCACAAACCUUCGCCACUAUUCUCGACUUGUAGUUAUCUAUAUAUCCAUUCUCAUUGAGUUUAGUUUUAUAAAUCCACUUAACUCCAAUUGGUUUGAUUCCAUUUGUUAAAAUAGUAAGCUCCCAAGUCUUGUUCUUUUCUAUGGAUUCAAUUUAUGCAAUCAUUGUGUCUCUCAACUUAUUACUCUUUCUAGCUUCCUCAAAUGAGAGUGGAUCAUCUUCAUUGAGCAUCAUCAUUGCAUUCAAGUUAUCCUCGUCAGAUAAGCCUUUACCAGUUUCAUAAUCUGCCAAAUAAGAAUGUGCUCUUCGUACCCUCCCUUCAACCAUAUUUGGUGAUUCAUCCUCAUGUGAUUCACUGGAAGAUGAAUUAGAUUAUAUGGAAUUUGUUGUAUCAUCAUUAUUGCCUCCCUCUUCAUUGUCAUUGGUGCCUCCCUCUUCAUUUUCGUUGUUGCACCCUUCUUCAUUUCCAUUCUUGAAUCCCUCUUCAUUUCCCUAUACUCCCUCUUCAAUGCCAUUCUCAUAAUCAUUUUCCAUUCUAAAACAUCUAUUAUGUAUUCAUCUUUGUUGUUGUCCCAAUUCCGACAUACAUCUUCUUUAAAAAUCGCAUGCUUGCUAAUGAUUAUUUUCUUGGAAACCGGAUCAUAUAGUUUGUAGGCCUUUGAUUCAUCACAUACUCCUAGAAAACACACAUUUCUUGCUCUUGAAAUCUAACUUGCUCCUUUUCAGGUCUAGAAUAUAUGCAUGAGCACACAUCCCAAAACUCGAAAGUAAUUAAUUGUUGGCUUUACACCAUUCCAUGCCUCUUCUGGAGUUUUGUUUUGCACAACCAAUGUAUGACAUAUAUUAAGAAUAUGCACACUAUAUUUUACAACUUCAGGACAUAACAUUUUAGGAAAUUUCUUCUCAACCAACAUAGAGCGCAUCAUGUUCAUCAUCAUCCUAUUUUUUUCUCUCAGCAAUUCCAGUUUGUUGAGGAGUAUAAGCCGUAGUCAAUUUUCUGCUUAUGCUAUGAACUUUACAAAAUUAUUCAAACUCAUUUGAAGUAAAUUCACCACUUCUAUCUGUUCUCAAAGAGGUGAUAUAUGCACCUGACUCCUUUACAACAUGGCCUUUUAAAGUUUUGAGCAUUGCAAAAGCCUAUGAUUUUUCAUGUAAGAAGUAAAUCCAUGUCUUACAAGUAAAAUCAUCUAUAAAAUUUAGAAAGUACCUUUUGUUGCUAUUUGAUUAUGGUUUAAUGGAUUCACAUAUAUCCGUGUGCCCAAGUUGAAGCUUAUUUGAUGCUCUCCAUGAGCUCUUUUUAGACAUGGAGUCUCUAUAUUAUUUUCCGAUUAAAUACUACGUACAUAGCUUCUUCGGAAUUUAGAUUUAAGGUAACCCAUUUACCCUUUUCUUAUAAAAAAAGUGUUCUCAAUCCUUGAUAGCUUAAGUGACCAUACCGACAAUGCCAAAGAUAAGAUUCAUUUUCUAACACGUUUUGAAAGCAUGUAGACUCAUUUGGAAUCAUGGAAGUCACCAAACAAAACAUUUUAUUUUCACUCAUAAUUGUUUCCAUAAUUAAUCCUUUUGUUGGAUGAUAUAUCAUACAUUUACCAUGUUGAAUCAAAAUAGAUAAGCCUUUAUCUUGUAAUUGUCAUAUGCUCGAUAAACUAUUUUUUUAACUCAUGAAUAUAGUAAACAUUCAAAAUUACCUGAGUAAAUCCAUUCACUUGCAUAUGAAUAUUGUAUUUUCCAAUAACAACCAUUCUACUGUCAUUUCCAAGUUUUACAGUAUGUCUGAAGCCUUCGUCUAAAUCUGAGAAUCACUUUUUUUUCUCACUCAUAUGAUUGCUGCAACCAGAGUCAAGAAACCACACUUCUUCCUUCUUUCCAUGUUUGAUUUCAACAUAGGACAUCAAUAAUAUAUCUUCUUCUUCUUUCUCUUCAAAUCUAACAUAGUUGGCCUUUUGCUCCCAAUCAGGACACUCAUAUUGAUAGUGUCCUAACCGAUGACACCGAAAAUACUCUACAACAACUUUAUUGUAGGUUUGUCGCCCCCUUCCUAUUUUUCAACCUCCUCUAAACAUGCCUCUACAUCUUCCUCUUCCGGUACUCUCCUAAACUCCUUCUACUUUAAAGAUAUCUUAAAAAGGUAAUCAUUUUCUUAAUAUUUCAUUUCCUUCAUAGCGUCAGCUUUUUUCUCUAUAUAAAGCUAUGAAUUAGACUUUCUAAUGGAGUCUUUAUUUGACAAGAAUUCACCAAUCAGGUUAAAGACGCUAUCAUCAUACUUAUAUUGAUAUUUAAAUUCAAGAUAAAUCCUUGAUAUGUCACUAAACAAAGGGAUUAUCUUUGUGAUUUCCCUAUUGAUAGAGAUGUAUUCUUGCAAAAGUCUGGUAAGUCUUGCAAAAUUGUUACUCUCACUACUUUAAUUAUUUUUCAAUGAGAGGAACAAAUGAAAUUAAGAAGGUUCGAAUUAAUCGGUUAUUUGAAUUAUUUAUAUUUAUAUUUAAAUUUGAUUAUUAAAAAAUAUUAAUUAUUAGUAUGUUUUUAACUAAUAUGUAUUUUAGAUAUUGUAUUAAUAGAGUUUUAAUCAAAUCUAUUUCAUGGAUAUUCAUAUCAAAAAUAAAAAUCAAAUUGGCUAUUUUCUAAAUAAUAUUUUUAUUUACUUUAAAAAAAAACAAAUUUUCUGAAAAUAAAGAAUAUAUGUUUUUUAAAAAAAAAUAUUUUUUUCGAAUACAUAGUUUUCAUUUAUUUUUUGAAAAAUUCUAAAAAAAUGUUUUUUCUAUAAAAAAGAAUAAAAAAAUAAAAAUGUUUUUGGGAAAAAAUAUUUUCUAAAAAAGUUAUAUUUCCUAAAAAAUAUAUAUUUUUUCUUAAAAUAAAAACGUUUUUUUUUCAUGUUAGAAAAAAAUUAUUAAAAAAACAAUUUUUUGUUAUUUUAAAUUUUUUUUCAGAAAAAAAAUAGUUGUUUCCAAAAAAAGGAAAAAAAUAUUUUUUAGUUUUUAGAAUCUUUUUUUUAAAAGAAAAAGAAAUUAAAAAAAAUAUCUUUAAAAUAAUUUAUUUAAAAAAAAAAUUAUAUCAAAAUCAAUUCUAAAUCGGAUAUUGAUAUAACCUAUUAAUAACUAAUUUAUAGCCAUUUUAAACCAAUAAAAAUCGUUUGACAAUUAAUUUUAAUAACGAAUAUAUCAAAUGAAUUAUAUUGUGUUAUAGAUUGAUUAUAUACGGAUA
rnacentral:lncRNA from 1 species